ACAUAUGAAAUGGUGCACAAUGCACAUGAUGAACAAAAUCACCUUCCAAAGAACAGGAAGGAUUUGGAACUCCGGACAAAUGGAUACCACUUGAGCAAUGACUCAAGUGAUGAGGACAAUGAUGAACUUGAAUUUCGAACACUAAAUCUUAAUAAGUUUAUUAAACAAAAAUCUAAAAUAAACAAUGAACUUGAACGGAG
rnacentral:lncRNA from 1 species